GCAGGUUCGGGUCGAACGCAGUGAGACAACGGAGCCGCUUGCGGCGACGGCCCGAAGGGCGAGGCGAAGCCGAGUCAUCCUGCACGACCCACCA
rnacentral:sRNA from 1 species